rnacentral:lncRNA from 1 species
CUGAAGCGGAACCAGUUCAAAUGAGAAGUCACUGCGGAAGGCGUGGUAUUGUUGGGACGUGAGCCCGAAUUUACGAUUCUGUUACUACUGCCUUUAAUAGCUACUCUGUUAGGGCGCUUCUCCGUCCUUAUCUGUAGACCUCGUUACAGUUGCUGGCUUUGAUUUGAAAUCUCCGUUUUACAAACGAGGCCUCUGAGACUUAGGCUGCGAUCCAGCUGUCUCCAGCCAAUUCUUCCCUGGAGGAGGAAUUAAGGGUUGGGAGAGAAGGCUGUAUCCUGAAUGAGAGAAGAAAUCCGUGCUUCAUUCCCGGGCCUGGGUAGCCUCCCCGGGGGAGGAGCCAGAAGUUGUGUGGUGCCAGAUCCGGUGAAGAAGGCAAAUGAGGACAUAUCACUAUCAUGUUUUCAGGAGCCUGACUUUCCAUUUAAUACAACUCAACAGCAGCACUCUCGGUAUUUUUCCUUGUAUCUCAUAAAGUCACAAAAGUCGAAUUUCAGAACUGCUUCAGAAAGUGGCAAGAGCCAGGUAUAUUGCUGCACACCUGUAAUCCCAGCCCUCAGGAGGCUGAUGAAGGGAGGAUUGCUGAGAGUUGAGGCCAGCCUGGACUGUAAAAUGAGUUCAAGGCCAGCCUGAACUACAUAGCAAGAACUUGUCUCAAACAACAACAACAACAACAACAACACACCCGAAGUCAGAAGCA